rnacentral:rRNA from 1 species
UUAGUGGCAGGACGGGUGAGUAAUGCAUAGGAAUCUACCUAGUAGUAUGGGAUAGCCACUAGAAAUGGUGGGUAAUACUGUAUAAUCCCUGCGGGGGAAAGAUUUAUCGCUAUUAGAUGAGCCUAUGUUAGAUUAGCUAGUUGGUAGGGUAAAGGCCUACCAAGGCAGUGAUCUAUAGCUGGUCUGAGAGGAUGAUCAGCCACACUGGAACUGAGAUACGGUCCAGACUCCUACGGGAGGCAGCAGUGGGGAAUAUUGGACAAUGGGCGCAAGCCUGAUCCAGCUAUGCCGCGUGAGUGAGGAAGGCCUUAGGGUUGUAAAACUCUUUCAGUGGGGAAGAUAAUGACGGUACCCACAGAAGAAGUCCCGGCAAACUCCGUGCCAGCAGCCGCGGUAAUACGGAGGGGGCAAGCGUUGUUCGGAAU